rnacentral:tRNA from 1 species
GGAGUAGCUCAGUUGGUAGAGCAAAGGACUGAAAAUCCUUGUGUCGGCAGUUCGAUUCUGCCUUUCACCA